GUUUCUAGUGUUUCUCAGUCUCUUUAGGUCUUUAUGAUUUCUUAUUCGGAUCAUUCCUGAGGUUAGUAGACAAUCGAGAGCGCUUUGUUCAUCCUCUGAACGAUUUUGAGUGUUUGUGAUAUAGGAUUCUAUUAGAGAGAUUGUUUAUGAGUAUAACGUUUACGAGCAUAUGGUGAUUACUAAGAUCAAAGGUCUGUUUCUACACUCAGUGCUUUGAUUUGCUCUCGUUGUUGUUAUCUUAACGUCAUGUGAUGAUUCAAUGUUUGUAUGCAGAUGGUGUAAACGUUGCUGCAUCUCAUACUCUAAUAUCAGGCGGUUUAGCCUUUGGUGUUGGAGUAUUUGCUCUGAAAAGUGUUCUGAAGUUUAGAUGUGGUGGUAAAGUAAGUAAGCUUUAACAUGUUGUCUUGGUCUGUGCUGGAAUGAUGUUGCAAACCCAACAUCUUUUGCUUUCUCAGUUGUUUUUUGUGAAGAACAUUUGGUUUAACAAUGAAUAUAACCCAACGUUAUGCA